rnacentral:rRNA from 1 species
AUGGGCGCAAGCCGGAUGCAGCCAUGCCGCGUGUGCGUAAGAAGGCCUUCGGGUUGUAAAGCACUUUCAGUCAGGAGGAAAGGUUAGUAGUUAAUACCUGCUAGCUGUAGACGUUACUGACAGAAGAAGCACCGGCUAACUCCGUGCCAGCAGCCGCGGUAAUACGGAGGGUGCGAGCGUUAAUCGGAAUUACUGGGCGUAAAGCGUACGCAGGCGGUUUGUUAAGCGAGAUGUGAAAGCCCCGGGCUCAACCUGGGAACUGCAUUUCGAACUGGCAAACUAGAGUGUGAUAGAGGGUGGUAGAAUUUCAGGUGUAGCGGUGAAAUGCGUAGAGAUCUGAAGGAAUACCGAUGGCGAAGGCAGCCACCUGGGUCAACACUGACGCUCAUGUACGAAAGCGUGGGGAGCAAACAGGAUUAGAUACCCUGGUAGUCCACGCCGUAAACGAUGUCUACUAGAAGCUCGGAACCUCGGUUCUGUUUUUCAAAGCUAACGCAUUAAGUAGACCGCCUGGG